rnacentral:rRNA from 1 species
AUUGAACGCUGGCGGCAUGCCUUACACAUGCAAGUCGAACGGCAGCGGACCUUCGGGUGCCGGCGAGUGGCGAACGGGUGAGUAAUAUAUCGGAACGUACCUUUCAGUGGGGGAUAACGUAGCGAAAGUUACGCUAAUACCGCAUAUUCUGUGAGCAGGAAAGCAGGGGAUCGCAAGACCUUGCGCUGAUUGAGCGGCCGAUAUCAGAUUAGCUAGUUGGUGUGGUAAAGGCUCACCAAGGCGACGAUCUGUAGCGGGUCUGAGAGGAUGAUCCGCCACACUGGGACUGAGACACGGCCCAGACUCCUACGGGAGGCAGCAGUGGGGGAAUUUUGGACAAUGGGCGGCAAGCCUGAUCCAGCCAUGCCGCGUGCGGGACGAAGGC